AGGGACACCCCCAAUAAAUCAAUCUCACUCGAUUUGGAAGUUAAAAAGGAAAAGUUUAACAAUAACUUAGAAAAAGGGAUUGGAGGUAGGGACACCCCCAAUAAAUCAAUCUCACUCGAUUUGGAAGUUAAAAAGGAAAAGUUUAACAAUAACUUAGAAAAAGGGAUUGGAGGUAGGGGAGUUUACAAAGGAUAAGGAAGGGAAAACAGCAAAAUACAAAACAGGGAUGGAUACAA